rnacentral:rRNA from 1 species
GUCGAACGCUGGCGGCGUGCUUAACACAUGCAAGUCGAACGAAGUGGCGAACGGGUGAGUAACGCGUAAUCAACCUGCCCUUCAGAGGGGGACAACAGUUGGAAACGACUGCUAAUACCGCAUACUGAAGGAGGGGAUUGCGUCUGAUUAGCUCGUUGGAGGGGUAACGGCCCACCAAGGCGAUGAUCAGUAGGCGGGCUGGGAGGAGGAACGGGGAAAAGGGGACUGAGAAACGGCCCAGACGGCGACGGGAGGGAGCAGUGGGGAAACUGGCGAAAUGGAAGAAAGGCUGACGGAGCAACGCCGCGUGAGUGAUGAAGGGCUACGGGUUGGAAAGAUCUGUUAAUCGGGACGCGGUACCGGAAUAGAAAGCCACGGCUAACUACGUGCCAGCAGCCGCGGUAAUAC